GGGGAUGUACUGGCAUUCGACAGAGGUCAUACGAAAUGUUAAGUAGCAAUCUGGGGGUUGCACCGUCUCCCCAUAUAUCCGUCCGGUGCAUUUUAGAUGCUGACGAAGUAUCAGAAUCAAGCCCUGCUUAUCUUGCUCAGUAUGGAUUCGCUCCUGCUAUGGCAGUUGCAUAAGUACUCUUGAUCCUUAAGUGCCCAUAGCGGCGCUUACGUUCUUCCGGUUGACACCCGAUAUUCCCUAAGAACGCCACCCUAUCGGGUUAGAUCUUCUUGUUUCCCGGUUUGAAAGACGAUUGAAUCCUUAAAACCGACCGGCAUAUAACGCUUUUGAUUAUUUUUUAUGUUAUGUGACGUAAUUAAAAUAAUCUAUGAUUGUAGACGCUUAUUGUUUCGGCCUUUGGACCCGGGUUCGACUCCCGGCAUCUCCACCA
rnacentral:tmRNA from 1 species